ensembl:rRNA 5S_rRNA 5S ribosomal RNA
AUCUACGGCCAUACCACCCUGAACGCGCCUGAUCUCAUCUGAUCUCGGAAGCUAAGCAGGGUCGGGCCUGGUUAGUACUUGGAUGGGAGAAAUAUAAGGGUGCUUUUUCUU